ACCCAGCCCUUCCAGAGGAACGACAUGGCCCAGCACCAAGCCACGUUUUCAUUGUCAAUCAGAUUCAACCUAGAGUGGCCUGAGCAAAUGAACCUCGACUGGAGCGUCGCCUGGCUCAUACCAGCCUGUGAGCAGCUCCUCCGUAGGCUGUCCCGAUUACUAACAGAUGUGGGAGAACCCAAUCCAUGAUGGGUGGUGCCAUUAUUUGGUUUCAGACCCAGGGACAAGGGACUGAGGUG
rnacentral:lncRNA from 1 species